CCGCUUUCCGGUGGGCGGGAUGGGGUUGCCCAGGGGCCAGGUAUCCGACGCCUACCCCAGGCCGGGCGGUAGGAUGGCCCGCCCGCCCGCCCUUGGUUAAUCGAGCAGGGGGCCAAGAUGUUUCUCAGCCUUGUCUUCCUAUGCCCUUGUCAAGGAGUCUUCCGGGAACACCGAAGCGAAACUGCUGUAGAAAAGUUUGAUGUGCUGCCGGUUAAAGGUGGAAGUUAAUUACGUGGACGGAAAAGGAAAUGCUCGCUGAGAGCCUCUGCAUACAGGGAACAACGGUGCGAAGGAGGCUGCGGAGGCGGCGGGAGGUAACCUUGCCGUCCAGGAUAUUAAGACUUGUUGGAGUCAACGCUGUGCUGUAGCCAGAACACACGGCUAGAAUUUACGGUGGUUCUAAUCGGUUUGACCACUCUCUGUCAUCUUAGAAAAGUCAAUUAGGUUAUGAGUCACAUGGACGAUUUAAACAUGUAAAGCUCAUAGAACAGUGCUUAGCACGUAAGUCCUAUACACUUACAUGCAACUAGAGUUUUUCAUAUGAGAAAGGAUAAUCUGAUCCACAUAGGAUUGUGUAAAGGCUGAAAUUGAUGUGCACGCAUUAAGGGCUGAAAGUGUGGAGAGAGAACUGAGCGGAAAACACUAAUACUUAAAACUCAAGUUUGAUCUCAAAAUAUGUUGCAUGUGUUAAGCUCAGGACUCGUUCAGCAAGGGUAAUGUGAAUGUGAUUUGGAGUAUGUCAUGAGAUUAGUAGAAUUUUUGACACUUCAAUAAAAUUCCUAAAAUGAA